rnacentral:lncRNA from 1 species
GCUGGGAGCAAAGGACUCGUCACCUCGGCCUGGCUUCUGACGUGGCAGUGCCUGGAUCCAUCCCGGGAGCCUCCUGCCCUCGCCGCUGCCCGGUGCACCAGGACAGAGCUCGGCCCUGAGCUUGCAGGGGCUCCUUCCCCGGCUGGAAUCCCUGCAGACCUCGGUGUUCCCGUGCCUCUGCCCCAUCCAGGACAGCCAACCCCUGCAAGAGCUUCAGCCCCUCUGUCUGCUGCCAAAAAUUCCUGCCCUCCAGCCGUGGCACCGCCUGCUCGUGCUGGGUCAGGAUCCCGUGCUGCUGAGGGGGGAAGAAGCCCGGCAUUGUUGUCAGUGCUUUGCAGAGCCAGUCACAGCCUCGUUUCCUGCGCUUGGCAAUCGGGGAGCGGAGCCACGGUGGAACAAGGGGCUCAGAAGCGGCGACUGCCGACUCCCCACCGCUGCUGGGUGAGGCUCUGACCUCUGGCAAGGGCAGCUCCUCUCCCCUGGCAGCCGGGGACUCCCACCUGGAAUGAGGGAAUCGCAGAACCAAGAACCACUGGCAUUAGAAAAGCCCUCUGAGACCAUCGAGUCCAACAGUUCCCCCAGCACUGCCGAGGCCACCUCUCACCCACAUCCCCAAGUGCAACAUCCCCACGUACCUGGCAAGGAGGCAGUGCCAGUUCCAACUGCUGAUUCCUUCUGGAGCAGCCCCUGCUGACUGAGGGGCUCCCUGGCAGGUUGUUAAUGACGAAUCAAUAGUUACCCGCGAAGGAAGAUGAGGUGUUAGUCCCUGGAUCCACGGAGAGCAGGGCCUGCCCCACACACACUGGGCAUUCAUUCUGCUUGCCCGAGGGUUUGGAGGGACCUUGGGAGCGUGGGAAUGUCCCUGUGCAGCAGUGGAGUGUGGAGUGCAGUCCAGGCAGACUCUGCCUUUUCCAAUCCCAUCUUGCCAGCAGGUUGUUAAACCCUUUAAUCCGGGAGCGGCGAUGCUGAGCUGCUGCCUUACAGACGCUGCUCACUCCACAUCUGUUGGAAACCACGGCCCAAGAUAAAAGCCUGGAGCCUCCCACGUGG